rnacentral:piRNA from 1 species
UCAUUUACUAAGUUGCGAAUA